rnacentral:rRNA from 1 species
UAGAGUUUGAUCCUGGCUCAGAUUGAACGCUGGCGGCAUGCCUUACACAUGCAAGUCGAACGGCAGCAUGAUCUAGCUUGCUAGAUUGAUGGCGAGUGGCGAACGGGUGAGUAAUACAUCGGAACGUGCCCUGUAGUGGGGGAUAACUAGUCGAAAGAUUAGCUAAUACCGCAUACGACCUGAGGGUGAAAGUGGGGGACCGCAAGGCCUCAUGCUAUAGGAGCGGCCGAUGUCUGAUUAGCUAGUUGGUGAGGUAAAGGCUCACCAAGGCGACGAUCAGUAGCUGGUCUGAGAGGACGAUCAGCCACACUGGGACUGAGACACGGCCCAGACUCCUACGGGAGGCAGCAGUGGGGAAUUUUGGACAAUGGGCGAAAGCCUGAUCCAGCAAUGCCGCGUGUGUGAAGAAGGCCUUCGGGUUGUAAAGCACUUUUGUCCGGAAAGAAAUGGCUCUGGUUAAUACCUGGGGUCGAUGACGGUACCGGAAGAAUAAGGACCGGCUAACUACGUGCCAGCAGCCCCGGUCAA